UUGUUCCUUGUAUGCCUGCCUCGUUCUUUUGUGGAGAUGUUUGAGUUCUUGAUAGCAACAUUCAUGGGCUCCUUCUUGUGGGAUCUCUUCUUUUUGUGGAAGGUGGCGACCUGGCAAUCAUCUUUUGUGGUAUCCGUCUUUGGGUGUGUUAAUUACGCCGGAGGGUUAGUAGUAUCAUCAUUUUGCAUCUGCAUUGCAGGCACAUCAUUUUGGGUACAUGACGAUUGCGUAUGUCCUAGCAUGCCACAUGUAGUACACAGGAUGUAGGCCUCCCGUAGAUGAGUUGUUGUUUGAGGGAAUCUAUAUAGAUGUGGGUCUUAACUGGAGUACCCAGG
rnacentral:lncRNA from 1 species